rnacentral:piRNA from 1 species
UUCUUUGACAGCAGUGGGGGUGGU